CGCGUAGGCGGCCUAUCAAGUCAGAUGUGAAAGCCCGGGGCUUAACCCCGGAAGUGCAUUUGAAACUGUUGGGCUUGAGUAUGGGAGAGGGAAGUGGAAUUCCUGGUGUAGAGGUGAAAUUCGUAGAUAUCAGGAGGAACACCGGUGGCGAAGGCGACUUCCUGGACCAAUACUGACGCUGAUGCGCGAAGGCGUGGGGAGCAAACA
rnacentral:rRNA from 1 species